GCAUACUCUAAGCCCAAUCACCAACACAACAUCACACAUUAACACAACCUAAAACAUUGCACAAGACUAGUAGAUGAGAUCGAACCUCAAAUACUGACGCCAUAGAGAUAGUACUGCAAAGGAAAAGAUACCGAACACUAACAAAGCACAAAACAGCAGAGACAAACACACGUACCUCUUGCAUCACCGUCUAGCAAGAACAAAACAGACAAGACGAACCCAAGCCUGUCCCCCCGAAUGCAAGUGAGCUAUUCCCAAGCAGUUUCAAAGAACGAACUCGUUUCUGUAGCAAAAGAAUGAGAUGACUUGAGAAUAGAGGCGAUAAACCUAACGAACUUGCCGAUAGCUGGUUGCCUGACAAAACGAAUUUCAGUUCGACCUUGGGCCAUAAACCAUACACAACUAAUGACCACAUUACGCCCAAGAGAUAGUCAACUGGGGAUCAGCCCAAUUGACACGGUACACAAUCCAAAAUAGAGAAAAAGCAAAACAUCAAACACCAGUAGGCCUCAAAGCAGCCACCAUCCAUAUACCGUCAUAGGAACCAUUAAAAAAAAUACCAUAAACCAAAGCGACUUCCUACCUUCACCCCAGGCCACUCUAUGUUAACAUAGAAGAAAUGAUGCUAGAACUAGUAAUAAGAAACCAUCUCUAGAACAAAACUUCAAUAAAUAUCCAUCAGACCAAAAAAGGCCGCACAACACACAUUUCCCCACAAUGCACCACACUGUAAACCCAACACAGGAUUGUUCAAAAGAAAGACCUAAAGCCUAAAAAGGAACUCGGCAAACCCUAUCCUUUCCAACUGUUUAACAAAAACAUAGCCAUUAGCCAUUCAAGUAUUAAAGGUAAUGCCUGCCCAGUGAGAACCCUUAAACGGCCGCGACAUUCGUGCAAAGGUAGCGCAAUCACUUGUCCUUUAAAUGGGGACCCGUAUGAACGGCCACAUGAGAAAGAGACUGUCUCUUUAGGCCAGUCGAUGAAACUGAUCCCCCUGUACAAAAGCAGGAAUAACAAAGCAAGACAAAAAGACCCUGUGAAACUUAAAAUUAACUGUCAACCCACUGACAAGAACUUUUAGUUGGGGCAACUAAAGAGAAACAAAACCUCAUACCACACUACCAAGACCAACAAAUCCAGGUAAACAACUACACCGACCCAGCACCGCUGAUCAAAGAACCAAGCUACUCCAGGGAUAACAGCGCCACAUUCUUGAAGAGUCCACAUCAACAAGAAUACCUACGACCUCGAUGUUGGAUCAGGAUAACCUGAUGGUGCAGAAGCUAUCAAGGGUUCGUUUGUUCAACGAUUAAUAAUCCUACGCGAUCUGAGUUCAGACCGGAGCAAUCCAGGUCGGUCUUUAUCUGCUCUACGCUACAGCUAGUACGAAAGGAUCACUGUAGCAGGGCCCAUCUUUUCUAGACGCCCUAAUCAAAACUAUGCUGCACAAAAAUCAAACAUAAACACUAACACAACCACUACAAGAAAAGUAGUCAAACCACA
rnacentral:rRNA from 1 species